GGCAUAGUUUAUUUAUUAUUCGCGAUGUGGUAGGUAAUGGCAGUGUAUUCUCAUGUACGCAGACCUUAUCUCCUACCUCACGUUGUUUUACGUGUACAUUAAUAUAUACAAACAGAACUUGAGAACAAGAUGCUGAAUGUUGCAAUUCUGGACAUCUAAAUUAGACCAGCAGCCAGCAUCUUACUCUCUCUCCGUCUCUCUCGCUCACUGUAUUGUUUCUCGAAUUAUCUAAAACUAUACAUAUUAUACACAUCAAAGCCUGCAACAGACGAGCAACAUCUUCUUAUAUCUUCAGAACAGGCAGCAGCUUCUUCAAGGUUUGCUCAAAGAGUCCUUAUUAUCCAGAGUCUAUAUUUCUUUAUAUACAGAUAUACAAGACACGGACCAAUCAGACUCGCAUCUGAAAGGUGUUUGCAAAGGUUAAGGUACGUUUCCAAGUUACCAGAUUGUUGAAUUCGUCUUCUUAGUCUCUGCAGCACAGCUGCUCGGUCCAGAAAAUCUGGAUAUAAACCCAAGUCGAGCAUCUUAAUUACUGUUUCUGCAGCAUUCUCUAAGUGUCCGCCUUUAAUGUAACCUCUUAACAGCCAUGACAAUGUUUUCUUUUUCUGUAACGAGCUUGAAGCCUCCAUCCCGGUAAGCAGCCUUGAGAUGGGGCCUAGCUCCUUUUGGGAAGCACAUAUUGCUAAGACAAUGUCAUGAAGAUCUCCGCUGACUUCCUUGCCAGAUAUCUUCAUUUGCCACAAAUGUCUCUCAGCUUCUAUUCCACGGCCAGCACAGACAUACAUAGCAAGAAGCCUCUCAUGAACCACCCCGAAAAGAGAAGGGCCACCCUCUUGAAUCAACCAAUCGGAC
rnacentral:misc_RNA from 1 species